rnacentral:rRNA from 1 species
GAUGAACGCUGGCGGCGUGCCUAAUACAUGCAAGUCGAGCGAACAGACGAGGAGCUUGCUCCUCUGACGUUAGCGGCGGACGGGUGAGUAACACGUGGAUAACCUACCUAUAAGACUGGGAUAACUUCGGGAAACCGGAGCUAAUACCGGAUAAUAUAUUGAACCGCAUGGUUCAAUAGUGAAAGACGGUGUUGCUGUCACUUAUAGAUGGAUCCGCGCGGCAUUAGCUAGUUGGUAAGGUAACGGCUUACCAAGGCAACGAUGCGUAGCCGACCUGAGAGAGUGAUCGCCCACACUGGAACUGAGACACGGUCCAGACUCCUACGGGAGGCACCAGUAGGGAAUCUUCCGCAAUGGGCGAGAGCCUGACGGAGCAACGCGGCGUGAGUGAUGGGGGUCUUCGGAUCGUAAAACUCUGUUAUUAGGGAAGAACAAAUGUGUACGUAACUAUGCACGUCUUGACGGUACCUAAUCAGAAAGCCACGGCUAACUACGUG